GAUGAACGCUGACAGAAUGCUUAACACAUGCAAGUCAACUUGAACUUCGGUUUGGGUGGCGGAUGGGCGAGUAACGCGUAAAGAACUUGCCUCACAGUUAGGGACAACAUUCGGAAACGAAUGUUAAUACCUGAUAUUAUGAUUCUAUGGCAUCGUAUCUUCAUGAUAGCUAUAUGGGCUGAGGGUGAGCUUUUGGUCACAUUAGCUAGUCUGAGAGGUAACGGCUCACAAAGGCGAGGAUGGGUAGCGGGCCUGGGGGGGUGAUCGGCCACAAGGGAACGGGGACACGGCCCUUACUCCUACGGGAGGCAGAGGUGGGAAAUAUGGGACAAGGGACCAAGAGUCUGAUACAGACGUUCUGUGUGGAAGAUGGAGUUUUUCGGAAUGUAAAGUGCUUUCAGUUGGGAAGAAAAGAAUGACGGUACCGGCAGAAGAAGUGACGGCUAAAUACGUG
rnacentral:rRNA from 1 species